UAUUGGGCAAUGGGCGCAAGCCUGACCCAGCAACGCCGCGUGAAUGAAGAAGGCCCUCGGGUUGUAAACUUCUUUUAUCAAGGACGAAACAAAUGACGGUAUUAGAUGAAUAAGCAACGGCUAACUACGCGCCAGCAGCCGCGGUAAUACGUAGGUGGCAAGCGUUAUCCGGAUUUACUGGGUGUAAAGGGCGUGUAGGCGGUACUGCAAGUCAGAUGUGAAAACCAUGGGCUCAACCCAUGGCCUGCAUUUGAAACUGUAGUUCUUGAGUGUUGGAGAGGCAGGCGGAAUUCCGUGUGUAGCGGUGAAAUGCGUAGAUAUACGGAGGAACACCAGUGGCGAAGGCGGCCUGCUGGACAAUAACUGACGCUGAGGCGCGAAAGCGUGGGGAGCAAA
rnacentral:rRNA from 1 species